AUCAUUGUAAUUAUAACUUUUUUUUCUCCAUUCAGAUUUUCAGAUUAUACAGACAAUAUUUUCUCAUAGUGAAAACUGUGCUGGUCAGAUUUUUGAUAUCAAUCUACUCUUUGGGGAUUAUGAGUUGCUGGGCUCUUUUCAUCAUCACUGCACUAACAAUGACUUGUCAGGCCACUGCAUUGCAUACAAAUAAGGGGCAGGCACAGUUCCUAUUUAGUUUAAAGUUUAGGAUGACAAGAAUAACAGCAAAGAUUUAUUUCACAUCUAUUUUAUGCAGAACUUUCUGUUCCCAGGAACUGAGAAAGACCACAUUGAGGUGACAAAAUUAUAAAAUUGGCAUGCUAAUCUUCAAAGAAUCAAAAUUAAAGGGGACCCAAAGAAUCCUGGAGGAAGAUGAUUUACAAGCGCCAUAGAAGAACACAUAUCACUGAAGUGUCAUGCAAAUAUAUGUUAAAAUUACUUUAGAUUGUAUUUUAUUUGUGACUGUAAAUAUAGUGUACAAUGAUUAUUUGAGUACCAAUAUCAAAGAAGGCCAAAGAUAGAGAGAAAUGAACUUACCUGAGGUCUUCACCAAAGACAUAGAGACAUUCUUCAAAGACAAAGACAUUCUUCACUAGAAUCCAAAGAGAAAGUAAUCUUUAUUGAUACUAUGAUUUUUCAGAGGUUCCUAUUUAUGGAUGACAUAAUACUGUUUGCAUUGACUUUCUCAAGACUAAAGGACCCACUCACUGCAUCCAUGGCCAUACAAAAGUUAUUUCCUUCAAGGAAGGGAAGAAAUUUAAAAAUAUCUAUUGUCAAGUUGAUAAAAUGGAGUCGAUUAGUAUACUCAUUGAGUUAGUCUAUACAAUGAAUAUUUUGGAUGGGAGCUACAGAUAGCCAGUGAGGUGAGCAAAUAAUGGAAUAGAAUUCCAUUUGGGAAACUGUGAAGUGAUUACAAUAAACACCAAGCUGCUCACUGUCA
rnacentral:lncRNA from 1 species